AGAGUUUGAUCCUGGCUCAGAUUGAACGCUGGCGGCAGGCUUAACACAUGCAAGUCGAGCGGUAACAGGGGUAGCUUGCUACCCGCUGACGAGCGGCGGACGGGUGAGUAAUGCUUAGGAAUCUGCCCAGUAGUGGGGGAUAGCCCGGGGAAACCCGGAUUAAUACCGCAUACGUCCUACGGGAGAAAGCAGGGGAUCUUCGGACCUUGCGCUAUUGGAUGAGCCUAAGUCGGAUUAGCUAGUUGGUGGGGUAAAGGCCUACCAAGGCGACGAUCCGUAGCUGGUCUGAGAGGAUGAUCAGCCACAUCGGGACUGAGACACGGCCCGAACUCCUACGGGAGGCAGCAGUGGGGAAUAUUGGACAAUGGGGGCAACCCUGAUCCAGCCAUGCCGCGUGUGUGAAGAAGGCUUUCGGGUUGUAAAGCACUUUCAGUAGGGAGGAAAACCUUAUGGUUAAUACCCAUGAGGCUUGACGUACCUACAGAGAG
rnacentral:rRNA from 1 species